UACGAAGGGGGCUAGCGUUGCUCGGAAUCACUGGGCGUAAAGGGCGCGUAGGCGGACUCUUAAGUCGGGGGUGAAAGCCCAGGGCUCAACCCUGGAAUUGCCUUCGAUACUGAGAGUCUUGAGUUCGGAAGAGGUUGGUGGAACUGCGAGUGUAGAGGUGAAAUUCGUAGAUAUUCGCAAGAACACCAGUGGCGAAGGCGGCCAACUGGUCCGAUACUGACGCUGAGGAGCGAAAGCGUGGGGAGCAAACAGG
rnacentral:rRNA from 1 species